CGCCCGUAGCUCAGUUGGAUAGAGCAACGGACUUCUAAUCCGUAGGUCGGGGGUUCGAAUCCCUCCGGGCGCGCCA
rnacentral:tRNA from 1 species